CUGAGUUCAUGAUGAUCUAAAGUUAUCCCUGUCUGAAGGCAAAGAAGCCUUUCUGUGGAAUAUGGAUGUCUGAAACUCAG
rnacentral:snoRNA from 1 species